rnacentral:rRNA from 1 species
GACGCCUACGCAAGUAGUGAGGAAGGCGGGGAUGACGUCAAAUCAGCACGGCCCUUACGUCCAGGGCUACACACGUGCUACAAUGGCCGAUACAGAGGGCAGCUACCUGGUGACAGGAUGCAAAUCUCCAAAGUCGGUCUCAGUUCGGAUCGGAGUCUGCAACCCGACUCCGUGAAGUUGGAUUCGCUAGUAAUCGCGCAUCAGCCAUGGCGCGGUGAAUACGUUCCCGGGCCUU